rnacentral:tRNA from 4 species
AGAGAGGUGGCCGAGUGGUCGAAGGCGCACGCUUGGAAAGCGUGUAUACGGCAACGUAUCGAGGGUUCGAAUCCCUUCCUCUCUG